AACUGUAUUUGCUCCUACAUGGCUACAAGUGAGCUCCGUGUUGGCAGAGGCUCACAUCAAAGACCUGAUUACCCUUAGUGAACUGAAAUCUGAAGAACUGUGAUGCUGGAUGUGGUCAGCAGAAACAAGCCGUUUUCGCUGCUUUUCCAUUAUAUCCAAACGGUCACCAUGACCCCCUGACUCCUAAACGGAAGUACGUACGUGCACCGUUUCAUUCCAUCCGGAUGCGUAUGAAAGACAGAUGUCAUAAUAAAGGAAUUCUAAUGUAACCAAGGUAACUGA